UGCACGGCGACUGCAGACUUGUGGUGACGAGCCUGAGGGGGAAACCGGCGCCCGGGCUCCGACUCAGCGUCCGCGGGUGGAGUCUCCUAGCGCGGCUGGUGCCUCUGCGUGGGCAGUAGAAGCUCCUACUCAGGUGGCCUUCACACCUGUCGUAGCCGUCUGGCCCUGGGAAGGGGGCUUCAGUGUUUCCUCCGAGUUUAUGAGGCGCAAAUUAUUCCCGGGGCGUCCUUACUCCGUUAUUGAAUUUCUGCCACUCACUCAGCGUCAAAUUGGUUGACAGAAGCGCCCGCCAAUCUCGUUUUCUUCAAAAUCUGCCCAAUUGACUGACGUAGAAAUUUUUCAAGAUAACGUUUCCUUCCUGAGGAGGCACCCGGUUGUGAGCUCCAGUGGCGGUGACUGCUUUGAAUUUGGCUUCUUCGGACGGCAGCCGGGUGAAUAAGUUUCCACAAUGGGAAAGUCCCUGAGAAAUAAGAUUUAAGGAACAGGAAAAGGCACCUCUGUCCACAAUUACCUUACCUGAAAUUGCCAAUUUAAGGUAAUGAAGUAGAUUCCGAAAAGAAACGAAAGGAAGAGACAGAGGGAGAAAAAUCUGGAAAAGAGGGAAGUUAAGCCUACAGCUGCAGCAAAAACCCUCCAGAGAACCAUGUUUACAGCUGUAGUCAUUCUGGAUCUUAACAGUAAGAAUCAGUGAUCCUGUUCAGUGAGUAACAGUUCGUAUGGUGCUCAUAACAUGAACAGGCUCUGAAGCUGGCGGCCAAGAGGAGUUCAGAGGAAUAGUGAUUAUGGAGUGUAAAGUAACAUCAGCAAACAUAGCUGACGCCUGGGAAGACUCCUGCUCCUCAAUCAGUUGCAGGAAGGAUAGGAAGAGAAGUGAAAUAUCACAUGAAAAGAAGUUUCAGGAAGAUACCAGCACGGGCUCCAGGAACAGGCUGUCUCAGUAAAUCCUGCCCCUUCAGAAGCACAGUGAGUAGUCCUGCUGACUGUAGAAAUCAGCAGCCUUUUAAACCUCUAAGUAAAAUGAUGAUGUUAAGUAUCUAUUCUUUCUUACAAUGAAAAAACUUAAAAUCUUAGAAUUCCAACUUAAACUCAGCCAGUGGGCAACCUACUUGAAAAUGACUGCACAUCCACGUCUAA